UACGAAGGGGGCUAGCGUUGUUCGGAAUCACUGGGCGUAAAGCGCACGUAGGCGGACUUUUAAGUCAGGGGUGAAAUCCCGGGGCUCAACCCCGGAACUGCCUUUGAUACUGGAAGUCUUGAGUCCGAGAGAGGUGAGUGGAACUCCGAGUGUAGAGGUGAAAUUCGUAGAUAUUCGGAAGAACACCAGUGGCGAAGGCGGCUCACUGGCUCGGUACUGAGUGCGUGAG
rnacentral:rRNA from 1 species